rnacentral:lncRNA from 1 species
ACAUUUGGUCAUCAUUAUUCUCUUCAUGUCAACCUACUUGAGGUGUUCAUCCUGCUAUUCUGGAAAUACUGGAAGAGUAUCCUCUAUAAGUAACCAGAGAAAGUCAAAGAACAGAGAACCCAGGCAUCUGUCUACGUUAAAAGGUGAUACAGUCAAAUGAAUCCACAGAAUGAUCCAUUUAACUAGACAGUCUACGCCAUACAACCAUUGAAAUUUGCUAUGUCCUUCUCAUCCAGUCAUCCCUGGCAUCAGCAUCUUCCUGGAAUUUACAUAGAGGAAGGAGAAGAUAAAGGAAAAAAGGUGUGCAAUCUUCAAUCAGGAAACAUAUUUGAAGCAGGAAAUCAGUUCUCAAGCCUCGGGCUGUAUCAUCUGCUCCUGUCUCUUUUGCAGAGUGUAAUUUUGUCCACUGCCACAUUGCAAAGUCGACAACCAUAGGACGAUGGUUCAUGGCCAGAAAAUAAUGCAUUCGGAACAAUGCCUCCAAAGUUACAGCAGACCGUUUGCAGACUAUUGUUAGGAAAUUAUGAUUAACAUGUUGUGAGAGAGAGAGAAACAUAUAAGAAGUCAGGCACUGAUCUGGAUUCUGGGAAUACAGUCACUUGUAAUAUGAACAUGUCCUUGGUCGUCACUGAGCCUUCAAACUAGCUGUGAUGAUAGACAGUUUUAAUAGACAAUUUUAAUGUGAUAAAUUCUGUGGCAAGUGCAAUAAAGAGUGUUAAAUGAAUAGUAAAAUAAUUUAA